UACGUAGGGGGCAAGCGUUGUCCGGAUUUAUUGGGCGUAAAGAGCGUGUAGGCGGCCUGACAGGUCUGCUGUGAAAACUCGAGGCUCAACCUCGAGAUGUCGGCGGAAACCGUCUGGCUAGAGUCCGGAAGAGGAGAGUGGAAUUCCUGGUGUAGCGGUGAAAUGCGCAGAUAUCAGGAGGAACACCGAUGGCGAAGGCAGAUCUCUGGGCCGUAACUGACGCUGAGGAGCGAAAGCGUGGGGAGCGAACAGG
rnacentral:rRNA from 1 species